GAUGAACGCUGGCGGCGUGCCUAAUACAUGCAAGUCGAGCGAACAGACGAGGAGCUUGCUCCUCUGACGUUAGCGGCGGACGGGUGAGUAACACGUGGAUAACCUACCUAUAAGACUGGGAUAACUUCGGGAAACCGGAGCUAAUACCGGAUAAUAUAUUGAACCGCAUGGUUCAAUAGUGAAAGACGGUUUUGCUGUCACUUAUAGAUGGAUCCGCGCCGCAUUAGCUAGUUGGUAAGGUAACGGCUUACCAAGGCAACGAUGCAUAGCCGACCUGAGAGGGUGAUAGGCCACGAUGGAACUGAGACACGGUCAAGACUCCGACGGGAGGCAGCAGUCGGGAAUCGUCCGCAAUGGGCGAAAGCCUGACGGAGCAACGCAGCGUGAGUGAUGAAGGUCUUCGGAUCGUAAAACUCUGUUAUUAGGGAAGAACAUAUGUGUAAGUACCUGUGCACAUCUUGACGGUACCUAAUCAGAAAGCCACGGCUAACUACGUG
rnacentral:rRNA from 1 species